CCUACGGGUGGCAGCAGUGGGGAAUAUUGCACAAUGGGGGAAACCCUGAUGCAGCGACGCCGCGUGAGCGAUGAAGUAUCUCGGUAUGUAAAGCUCUAUCAGCCGGGAAGAAAAUGACGGUACCUGACUAAGAAGCACCGGCUAACUACGUGCCAGCAGCCGCGGUAAUACGUCGGGGGCAAGCGUUAUCCGGAUUUACUGGGUGUAAAGGGAGCGUAGACGGCUGGGCAGGCCAGAUGUGAGAGCCCGGGGCUCAACCCCGGGACUGCAUUUGGAACUGGGUGGCUGGAGUGUCGGAGAGGCAGGCGGAAUUCCUGGUGUAGCGGUGAAAUGCGUAGAUAUUAGGAGGAACACCAGUGGCGAAGGCGGCCUGCUGGACGAUGACUGACGUUGAGGCUCGAAAGCGUGGGGAGCAAACAGGAUUAGAUACCCCUGUAGUC
rnacentral:rRNA from 1 species